rnacentral:rRNA from 1 species
UGCCAGCCGCCGCGGUAAUACGAGUGCCUCAAGCGUUAUCCGGAUUUAUUGGGCGUAAAGGGUGCGUAGGCGGACCUUCAAGUCGGAUGUGAAAUCUAUAGGCUCAACUUAUAGCUUGCAUUCGAAACUGAUGGUCUUGAGUGGAUUAGAGGAAUGCGGAAUUCCAGGUGUAGCGGUGAAAUGCGUAGAUAUCUGGAGGAACACCAGUAGCGAAGGCGGCAUUCUGGGAUCAUACUGACGCUGAAGCACGAAGGCUAGGGGAGCAAACAGGAUUAGAUA